GGAGUUAGCCGGUGCUUCUUCUGCGAGUAACGUCACAGAUGUAAGGUAUUAACUUACACCCUUUCCUCCUCGCUGAAAGUGCUUUACAACCCGAAGGCCUUCUUCACACACGCGGCAUGGCUGCAUCAGGGUUUCCCCAAUUGUGCAAUAUUCCCCACUGCUGCCUCCCGUAGGAGUCUGGGCCGUGUCUCAGUCCCAGUGUGGCUGAUCAUCCUCUCAGACCAGCUAGGGAUCGUCGCCUAGGUGAGCCUUUACCUCACCUACUAGCUAAUCCCACCUGGGCUUAUCCAUCAGCGCAAGGCCCGAAGGUCCCCUGCUUUCCCCCGUAGGGCGUAUGCGGUAUUAGCAGUCGUUUCCAACUGUUAUCCCCCACAAAUGGGCAAAUUCCCAGGCAUUACUCACCCGUCCGCCGCUCGUCAUCUUCAAAAGCAAGCUUUUGAAAUGUUACCGCUCGACUUGCAUGUGUUAGGCCUGCCGCCAGCGUUCAAUCUGAACCAAGAUCAAAUUCUGA
rnacentral:rRNA from 1 species